UACGAAGGGUGCGAGCGUUAUCCGGAUUUAUUGGGUUUAAAGGGAGCGUAGGCGGUCUUAUAAGUCAGUGGUGAAAUCUCGUUGCUUAACAACGAACGUGCCAUUGAUACUGUAGGACUUGAGUACAGUUGCCGUUGGCGGAAUGUGUCAUGUAGCGGUGAAAUGCAUAGAUAUGACACAGAACACCGAUUGCGAAGGCAGCUGACGAAACUGUAACUGACGCUGAGGCUCGAAAGCGUGGGGAUCAAACAGG
rnacentral:rRNA from 1 species